rnacentral:piRNA from 1 species
UGCCCUAGAGUCAAAUGCCUAUUGCUGG